AUAGUGGCGCACGGGGUGCGUAAGCACGUAUGCAACCUACCUUACAUUGGGGGAUAGCCUUUCGAAAGGGAGAUUAAUACCGCAUAAGACAGUAGCUGGGCAUCCAGCAGCUGUUAAAGAUUUAUCGAUGUAAGAUGGGCAUGCGUCCAAUUAGUUAGUUGGCGAGGUAGUGGCUCACCAAGACUUUGAUUGGUAGGGGAACUGAGAGGUCAAUCCCCCACACUGGCACUGAGAUACGGGCCAGACUCCUACGGGAGGCAGCAGUAGGGAAUAUUGGGCAAUGGACGCAAGUCUGACCCAGCCAUGCCGCGUGCAGGAUGAAGGCGUUAUGCGUUGUAAACUGCUUUUAUACAGGAAGAAACGACUCUUGCGAGAGGCAUUGACGGUACUGUAUGAAUAAGCACCGGCUAACUCCGUGCCAGCAGCCGCGGUAAUACGGAGGGUGCAAGCGUUGUCCGGAUUUAUUGGGUUUAAAGGGUGCGCAGGUGGUUUAUUAAGUCAGUGGUGAAAGACGGUCGCUCAACGAUUGCAGUGCCAUUGAAACUGGUAGACUUGAGUAAAGUAGAGGUGGGCGGAAUUGAUAGUGUAGCGGUGAAAUGCAUAGAUAUUAUCAAGAACUCCAAUUGCGUAGGCAGCUCACUUGGCUUUUACUGACACUCAUGCACGAAAGUGUGGGUAUCAAACAGGAUUAGAUACCCUG
rnacentral:rRNA from 1 species